rnacentral:rRNA from 1 species
AACGAACGCUGGCGGCAGGCUUAACACAUGCAAGUCGAACGGGCGUAGCAAUACGUCAGUGGCAGACGGGUGAGUAACACGUGGGAACCUUCCUAGGGGUACGGAACAACUCAGGGAAACUUGAGCUAAUACCGUAUACGUCCGUGAGGAGAAAGAUUUAUCGCCCUUAGACGGGCCCGCGUCGGAUUAGCUAGUUGGUGGGGUAACGGCCUACCAAGGCGACGAUCCGUAGCUGAUCUUAGAGGAUGAUCAGCCACACUGGGACUGAGACACGGCCCAGACUCCUACGGGAGGCAGCAGUGGGGAAUUUUGGGACAAUGGGGGCAACCCUGAUCCAGCCAUGCCGCGUGAGUGAAGAGGGCCU